CCAGCACCCCGAGUGGUCGGGACGUUUAUUGGGCCUAAAGCAUCCGUAGCCGGUUCUACAAGUCUUCCGUUAAAUCCACCUGCUUAACAGAUGGGCUGCGGAAGAUACUAUAGAGCUAGGAGGCGGGAGAGGCAAGCGGUACUCGAUGGGUAGGGGUAAAAUCCGUUGAUCCAUUGAAGACCACCAGUGGCGAAGGCGGCUUGCCAGAACGCGCUCGACGGUGAGGGAUGAAAGCUGGGGGAGCAAGCCGGAUUAGAUACCCGGGUAGUCCCAGCUGUAAACGAUGCAGACUCGGUGAUGAGUUGGCUUAUUGCUAACUCAGUGCCGCAGGGAAGCCGUUAAGUUUGCCGCCUGGGGAGUACGGUCGCAAGACUG
rnacentral:rRNA from 1 species